GAUGGAGGCAGGGAGGCCCCCCUGUGCUUGAGGGUGGCCUCGCCAUCAAGGCUGGGGCCUCCGUGCCUCCUGCCUUGCUUGUCCCCCUCAGCCACAGCUUGGCCGCUUCUAGGAGAUGGUGCCGUCUCUCCCACCAGCAGGCUCUCCCCCGGGAGCCUGCUCAGACCUGCCUUCCUCACAAAGCUCGGUAGCAACUCCCUGGGGCAGAAAAUGUCUCUUCUGAAAGCAAGACAAGAGUUUAAUUAAGCCCUAAACGCACACAGUUGAGCCUGAAAUUAGGGUGGUGAUGGGAGGGGGAGAAGGCAAUCGAGGACGGUGGGUAGCGGGGUGGGCUUCAACGCACUUCUGGCCCAGCUGAGCCAAACAAGCCUACAAGCAAACAUUUACAGAGCCUGUGGGCGUGGCUACAAAGCCUCUCUGACCUGGAGAGGGGAGAAUGCCACGUUUCCUGUCCUGUUUGGGCUCUCCCCAGGUUGUUGCUCAGACAGUCAAACCACAGCCUCCUCCUCUACCUGGCAAUUAAUCCUGCUGUGCCCUGCAACCUGGGUUGGGUCUUACUCUGCCAGGGACUGAAGCAAGAAGAGACGGGCCGCCGGGCGUGUUAUCGCUUGUCUCUGGGGCAGAGAAGCGGUUGCAACAGAGCCCCUGCGUGCGUGUGGACGUGCCUGCGUGGAGCAGUGAGGGAACAGGCUGUCCUCGGGGGGCGCCCUGUCCCCCUUCCCUGUGUGUGUGGCAGGCAACCCAAGGGCAGACCCCACUUGAUGGACACAGAAGCUGCUCUCACAGAAGCCAACCCCCCACCCCCCUGGACAGGUCAUCUAAUCAGUUAGUGGAGAUGCUAUGAGCACACCAAGACAGAGGUUCAGUAUCUUGCCGAAAGUUGAGAGGAGAAGCUACGAAUAAGACCAGCUCUGGCUCCCAAUCCACCCCACAGCUUUUGAUGGUACUCAGUGGUACACCCUUGGACCCCGAUGGUGUGGGCAGUUCUCCCACAGGUCUGGCCCGAGUCUCUCCUACUCUCGUCUGAAUUGGAUCAGAUGGAAGGACCAUGUCAGUAGGUCGGUUCUGCUCCCAACCCAGCCUCAAGAGACAUCACCCAUCCCUUGGUACAGGUGGUAGCCUUCCAGUUACUGGGGUGGGGAUGUUUGCCUUCUGUUAAUGAAAAGAAAUAGAUGUGAUAAUAAAUAAAUGCCCAACCCAGUGCAGCAAUCGAUGUCCCUAACAAUGAGGCUCUGUGUUUGCUCUCAGCUGUGGGUUAUGUUCAUUGGCCACAGUCACUGCUCAGGAGCCCCUGGGCACAUCAUCCUGGGUGGGUCCACAGG
ensembl:lncRNA